ensembl:lncRNA
GAGCUGAAUGGCAUGGGGAAGGUUCUUGUGAAAGAAUGGAGGUAGUAAUUGUUGUAGAAAUAAGUUGUAAAGAAAUGGUGAAAGCUGGAGGAAGCCUGGAAGUGACUUGAAUCUUCUGAAAACAGAAGUGUGUUGGAUGAUUUCAGUAGACUAGAUGUUGAGAAUGAAUGUGGCAGUUAAAGCUGAUUUUACAGUAUCUUUCCUGAUUUUGUUUUCAACUCCCUUGUGCUUUUUUUUUUCUGUUAGUAGAAAUAGAAUGGAUAUAUUACAUAUUUCUUGAUUGUAGAGCUUCACAUAAGUGCAGUAUUUUGUUUCAAAUCUUGUACUUUUUACAAAGAUUUACUCACAGUAAGACUAAUUGCUACUAUUUGUUGUGCAUAGGCUGUCUUCAAUGAUAGAGGAGGAAAAAGAGGAAUAGCCUAUGGGGGUUUGAUGUAGAGGUGGGGGUUGUUGUGGGAUUUUCUGGUUUUAAUAAAAUGCUUUUCUGGGUCACUUUGACUUGGAGAUGACAGUGGGUCUCCUGCUCAGACUGAUGCUUUGCUUCUUUUCUUUUGCUCCUGGCUUCUGGAAGUUGUGCCCAAUACAUCUUGUGCAGAAGAGGGAUUCUCAUCAGUUGUGAGCAGUGCAGGUAAAUAUUACAAAUUAGUCCACAACUGUGAAAGAAAGCUGAGUAGGAUAUUCUGCACAAGGUGGACUGACAAUAAGUACUGAACUAAGAAGACUUCAGGGGAGAGAAGAAAGACAAGAUGUAUACUCAACAGGUGAGAGCUGACUAGUUUGAAAGACUAGUUUGGACAGAUCCUUCAAGUGAUGAUCACUUUAAGUUGUGGUAGUGUAGUGGAAAUGAUACCUCAUUGCUUGAACAAGUGAUGGAGCACCUGGUGGGAAGGCAGAGCUAACCCAAGGGAGCUCAGUUGCAUGCAGUGUACCUGAGUGACUGGAAGGGGUGUAGCCAGGAUCCACUCCUUCCCAGACCUCACUUAAGGGUUGGCAGUGGAGGUGAGGGGAUCUCACUGGAGAUCCCUGCCUACCUGAGGCCUUCCAAGGGUAAGCAGCUUUUUUCCCUUCAUUUUUGUGUUCAUGGCUGCUGCAUUUGGGCUUGUUAUCAUUUGCUGCAGCUGAUGACUGUGCUACUCUAUCUCUGCUGUACUUUCCAUCACAUUAUAGUGUUGUGGAUAGUCAAUGUGGACUUUUCUUAAUCUUAAGACAAAAAGUUGUUUAUCUAUUUGAUAUAUCUCCUAUAUACAGCCGAUGUUUGUUCUCUUCCUCCUUUUGCCCAUUUUCUCUGUUGUAUUCUGUCAGCUCUCAUUUUACAUGAAAAUAUGUUCUGACCAUCCUCAUCAUUAUGCUGAGCUCUCAAGUAACUGAGUAGUUGCUACUUUGCAUUAUGGAAGAAACAGAGUUAUGGAGCUACACUGGAGGGUGGAAGGAAGCAUCUUUAUUCUUUUAAUCUUCAUUUUCUCUAUACUUAUUUAUAAAUGUAUUCUGUUUUUCCCCUUCUACAAAGCCAGCAAGAAGUAGUUGAUUAUGGUCCUCUGAGCUAAAACAAAAUGCUAAAAAAAAAUGUUCUGUUCCAUUUUCUUCCUUCUCAAUGGUUUUGAUAUUACAGAUGUAUGACUUUCCUAUGCAGAAGAUCUGAUUAGUAAUUGGGAAGUAGAUAUUCCAAACUUGAAGUUCUUUGUUUAUUGUCUGCUAACAGCACUUUUAAGCAAGUAGCUCCAUUAAGGUUUCUGACAAGAUCAGGCCUCAACAUUCUCUUUUUUUUUAAAGCUGAAUAGAUCAGAACACAAUUUAGCUUAAAAAAGUGACAACAAACUGAAGGUGUUUAGUUAGCUCUGUUAGUUGUUAACUCACUGGAGGAUUUUUUCUGUUUAAAGUGCUGUUUAUUUUUUUGCUCUCUUUAAGAGUAUAUGUGUGGAAACUGUAUGAGCCCUGAUAUAGCUCAAGAAAUGUAAAGAAUAUGUAUGAAGUAUAAUGUAGCAAAUCCGGUAUUGUUACUUUUUGACUUCAUGCAAACUCCAGUGGAAAAAUGUGAUAGUUAUCAUCUGAAUGCUAUAAUUCAACAAAAUUGCUGUUUGUGCCACUAUAUGAUGUAAAGAAAUCAAACUAAUCCAGUGUUUUUUGGAACAUGUGCACACAUUUGCAUAUAUGUGCAUGUUUAUUCUAAAAUAUAACCUGAAUACACUAUUUACACCCUGAUUGAAAAGAAGAGCUGGUAAAUUUUGCCAGCUGUCAAGGAAUAAACUGACAAAAUAGGUAGCAACUUCUAUCCUCUGAUUGUGUAGCAGUAUCUGUAUCUACAGCAACAAAGAAACCGAUCAGCUGUCUGCUGUUAUAUUUGACACUAGGAUAUGACAAGGAUCCUAAACAAGGUUUGUUGUAUUGAUUUUGCUGUUAGGUG